GACGAACGCUGGCGGCGUGCUUAACACAUGCAAGUCGAACGGAAAGGCCCUGCUUUUGUGGGGUGCUCGAGUGGCGAACGGGUGAGUAACACGUGAGUACCCUGCCCUUGACUUUGGGAUAACUUCAGGAAACUGGGCCUAAUCCCGGAUAGGAGCCCUUCCGGCAGGGGGGGGUUGGGAAGGUUUGGGGGUUGGGGUUGGGCCUCGGGGUUUUCCGGUUUGUGGGGGGGGUGGGGGUUACAAAGGUUUUUGAGGGUGCCCGGCCUGGGGGGGGGACGGGCCCAAUGGGGCUGAGGAAAGGCCCCGAGUCCUACGGGGGGGAGCGGUGGGGGAUAUUGCCCAAUGGGGGGGAGCCUGAUGCAGCCACCCCGCGUGCGGGAUGAAGGGCUUCGGGUUGUAAACCGCUUUCGCCUGUGACGAAGCGUGAGUGACGGUAAUGGGUAAAGAAGCACCGGCUAACUACGUG
rnacentral:rRNA from 1 species